GAUGAACGCUGGCGGCGUGCCUAAUACAUGCAAGUCGAGCGAACGGACGAGAAGCUUGCUUCUCUGAUGUUAGCGGCGGACGGGUGAGUAACACGUGGAUAACCUACCUAUAAGACUGGGAUAACUUCGGGAAACCGGAGCUAAACCCGGAUAAUAUUUUGAACCGCAUGGUUCAAAAGUGAAAGACGGUCUUGCUGUCACUGAUAGAUGGAUCCGCGCUGCAUUAGCUAGUUGGUAAGGUAACGGCUUACCAAGGCAACGAUGCAUAGCCGACCUGAGAGGGUGAUCGGCCACACUGGAACUGAGACACGGUCCAGACUCCUACGGGAGGCAGCAGUAAGGAAUCUUCCGCAAUGGGCGAAAGCCUGACGGAGCAACGCCGCGUGAGUGAUGAAGGUCUUCGGAUCGUAAAACUCUGUUAUUAGGGAAGAACAUAUGUGGAAGUAACUGUGCACUUCUUGACGGUACCUAAUCAGAAAGCCACGGCUAACUACGUG
rnacentral:rRNA from 1 species